GACGAACGCUGGCGGCGUGCCUAAUACAUGCAAGUCGAGCGAAUCUUUAAGGGGCUUGCCCCUUGAGAUUAGCGGCGGACGGGUGAGUAACACGUGGGCAACCUGCCUGUAAGACCGGGAUAACUUCGGGAAACCGGAGCUAAUACCGGAUCAUCCUUUCCUUCGCAUGAAGGAAAGCUGAAAGACGGCGUAAGCUGUCACUUACAGAUGGGCCCGCGGCGCAUUAGCUAGUUGGUGAGGUAACGGCUCACCAAGGCGACGAUGCGUAGCCGACCUGAGAGGGUGAUCGGCCACACUGGGACUGAGACACGGCCCAGACUCCUACGGGAGGCAGCAGUAGGGAAUCUUCCACAAUGGACGAAAGUCUGAUGGAGCAACGCCGCGUGAGCGAUGAAGGCCU
rnacentral:rRNA from 2 species